GCCCAGCUAGCUCAGUCAGUAGCGCAUGAGAUUUUUAAUCUCAGGGUUGUGGGUUUGAGCCUCACAUUGGACA
rnacentral:tRNA from 1 species